CAUUUUCUACUCCCAUGGGGCUCCUGAGGUCAUCUUGACAGACCAGGGUUGUGAAUUCUGGAACAAGGUAAACAAGUCCAUGUUUGAGGAGUUUGGUGUCAAGCACCGAAUCACAUCAGCAUACCAUCCUCAGACCAACGGACUGGAUGAGAGGACCAAUCAAACAUUGAAGAGGUCCAUUGGCAAGACCCUUGAUGGACAACAGGAGAGGUGGGAAGACAAAUUAAAAGAAAUAGUUUUUUUCAAAUAACUGUUGUGUCCAAGCCUCUUCCAGGUAUUCGCCCUAUCGUCUGAUGUAUGGACGGGAGCCACGUCUGUUUUCAGAGGUGUGUAGUGGUUGACUUUUUCAUAUUACCAUAUUAACAAUUUUGCACAAGGCUCUCACGCUGACCUGCACUGUCAGCUUGUCUUUAUUGGACACUGAAUGAAAUAACACAUACAAAUUCAUUAAGCUUCAAUUGUUCUGGGUUACUCCAUCAUCACAUCUAUAACAUGUUACUACAUGGAAAGAAACGUUAGGUAGCUAAGUAAUGUUACUUUUAUGUACGCAAAACCGUGGCUAUAAAUUAAACUAUUAUUACUCAACACAACAGGCAAACAUCAAGGCUGAUAUAAAACACUGGUUAAGAAAUCUUGUUGGAAUUUGCUGUUUCUGCAUCGUAAUACACGUUAGAAAGUGACAGUUAACUGACAGACUAGACUUUGACAGUAGCUAGCGUCUGUUAGACGUAGUUUUCUUACCUUCGUAGCUGUGAAUAUAGGUCACAGCAUACAGCCUAAACCCCUUCUCCAAUUUGCUGGUCGGAGUUUUCGUUUCCCUACAUAAUCGAUGUACAUCAGUGAUGUUUAUUGUCGGCAGCUCUUGUAAACACAGGGUGUAGAACGUUGCCAUAUUUGACCGGAAGCUGUGAAGCUGUAUUACGGCGAAUCAGGAAGUGCUUGUGCAAGUAGCUACUUAAAAGUUAUUUGAUUCAGAAAAUGUAUAGGAAUAUUCCUAUUUUUCACCUCCCAUACGAAAACAUUGUUAAUCAACCCACUUUUGAAAAAAAAUUAGCCAGCCGUAAUUUUGUCGGCUUUCAUUUUUUGUGCGGUAUAAGGUGACGGAUUCUCUAUAAGAUAAAUGUAAAUAUCUCCAAACUCCAUGUCUGGUCGAGACGUUGCCAACUUCAAAGCAAUGAACACAUCAGCGGGUGCUGUGUAUGGAUUACAAGUUCCGAGUAUGUAUAUCUUUUCUUAAUAUCUAAUUUGAACAUUUAUGGUCUAAAUAGAUAGAUUGUAGUGUUGUAAAUCUGCAAGGCUGAAAUUCCUCUGGCUGGCCGCUGUUCGUCGCCAUUUUGUCGGCGUCUGUUGCCCUCCAGGUAGCCAUGGUAGUCACGUGACUGCAAAGUAUGAAUAUGCAACAGGUGUGCAGCCUCACCCAGCCCGAGUCCAGUCAGACUUGGCCAGCUGAGGCUGCUUAAACCCAUCAUCCACACAAAAGCCAUCAUCCACACAGACUACAACACUAAUCUAAUCUGAAUCCACCAACCAAAUGUCAGAUCAUCUAAACUCAAACUGUCUGAAAUAAUUAAUAAUUUUAAAUGAUGCAAUUAAACGGAAGAUCUGUAGCCUUUUUUAAC